AACGAACGCUGGCGGCAUGCCUAACACAUGCAAGUCGAACGCCUGUAGCAAUACAGGAGUGGCAGACGGGUGCAUAACACGUGGGAACCUACCCUUGGGUUCGGAAUAACCGCGGGAAACUGCGGCUAAUACCGGAUACGUCCUGUGGGAGAAAGAUUCAUCGCCCUUGGAGGGGCCCGCGUCGGAUUAGCUAGUUGGUGAGGUAACGGCUCACCAAGGCGACGAUCCGUAGCUGAUCUGAGAGGAUGAUCAGCCACACUGGAACUGAGACACGGUCCAGACUCCUACGGGAGGCAGCAGUGGGGAAUAUUGGACAAUGGGCGCAAGCCUGAUCCAGCAAUGCCGCGUGGGUGAUGAAGGCCUUCGGGUUGUAAAGCCCUUUGGUCAGGGACGAUGAUGACGGUACCGUGCAGAAUAAGCCCGGCCUAACUUCGUGCCAGCAGCCGCGGUAA
rnacentral:rRNA from 1 species